rnacentral:rRNA from 1 species
UACGUAGGGGGCAAGCGUUGUCCGGAAUCAUUGGGCGUAAAGCGCGUGUAGGCGGCCCGGUAAGUCUGGUGUGAAAACUUGAGGCUCAACCUCAAGCUGUCAUCGGAUACUGUCGGGCUUGAGUCUGGAAGAGGAGAGUGGAAUUCCUGGUGUAGCGGUGGAAUGCGCAGAUAUCAGGAGGAACACCUAUGGCGAAGGCAGCUCUCUGGUACAUGACUGACGCUGAGACGCGAAAGCGUGGGUAGCAAACAGG